CAGCAAACUGCAACAAAACCUUUAUUUUAAAAUCCCUUCUUUUAUCACUUCUUCUUAUGAAUGCCAUGUGCCUGUAGGACAAAGAGGACCUUGACAAUGAUUUCUGGUAUGAUCUGCUUUCCUUCCCUUGACUCUUCUGUAGGGAUUCACCUGUUUGGACACUGAGCAUUCAAUCAGAAAUGGCUCUGAGUUCCAGAUGCUACUGAUUUAGGUGGGAUUGGGGUAUCUCUGCAUCACGUGGGAACAUCACCCAAUCUGUCCCACUACUCUAGCUGGCUCCCUUGGAUUCAGAACUGCUCAGAAGAAGGGGGAAGAUGGAGUGGAAAACACAUCUCCAAAGGCAUAAAUUACCAAGGGAAAGGUUAAAGGAAGAACUGUCACCUCCCUGUGGUGUGGGGUGCUGAUAAUUCCUUUAAAAGUUAAUCAGAAGCAAAGUUUUCCGAAAUACCACUACUCAGUCCCUCUCAGAUUUCUUUUGCUUGAGGAAGGACCUGGCAGCUUUGCUUUCACUGGGAAUAAUAUAGAAUAAUAGAGGAAAGAAAUAGUGGGCCGCUGCUGUGAUUGGGAAACCGAGUUCUCACUUCUGUCUAUCAAGUGAGUGAGUAUUGGAUGGGUGGUUGAGCUUGUGACCUGAUGGGGGAAGGCUGGAGCUGGGACACGUGGUUUGUAAUGUCUACUCUGUGAAGAGACAGGAAACGUAACUGAAGUGGAGAGUUCAGAAAAGAGGUAAAUAAUCUCUGAAGGGGGUAAUCUUUGUCCUGUUGGGCUGUUUUGGCUGUUCGUUGUUGCAUUGCUCUGCUCAUCUUUCUUUUCUGUUGCAGCCGAGGUGCCAUGGACUCUUGCCACUUCUGCUCCUCUAGCACUCCAGUUUGCAGAACCACCUGGUGAACAGGAUCAGAGACCGUUUCAAUCAUGUCUUAUUUCCCAUCUCCUUCCCUGGGCUACCAAAGUCUAGUUCCCAUUCUGAUUCACAGCCUGGAAGACAGGGAUGCAGUUGGGAGCUACAGUAUGUAACAGGUUUGAGCAACACCUAGAGUUUGUAGCAGCGUCCUGUGGGUGAAAAACAGACUCUCGAGGGAUGCAUCGUGUUGGAGCUAGAAGGGAGCACUUUCCAUGUCGCCAGUCUCUGAGUGAGCUGCUAUGGUAUAAGCUGUUUCAUCACAUUGCAGCCUUGACCAUGGCCCUCAGCUAAUCCUGAAGAGAACAGACCAUCUUGGUGUGGUCUAAAGACACUCUGGGGCUGGAGACACAUCAGGGGACAUUCCUGUUCGUCACCUUUUUUGCAGUUAAUGGUGUAACUCUAAAAUCUGUCUCAAGCAAUCCUUCCUAAUGCAGCUAUGCAGACAGGGAAGAGCUGUGCUGGAGCACAGACGCACGAAAGAGGGGGAUGCUGUUCCUGAGAGAGCGUGGAGGAAGAUUGAGUUGUGCGUGUGAGGACAGAACAGGAGAAGACUCCAGAUACUAGGGCCACUCCUCCAGCAAACUUAAUAAGUAUUGUUAUAAAGUACUUUGGAGGGGGAAAAAAAAAAACUUAAUCUUCUAAGCAUCGUUGAAUGAUGGGACUGAACUGGGAAUAAUAAUAAUUAAGAAAAAAAUUUAUUGAAAAAAGUUGGCUAAUUUUCUACAUGAUUCAACUUUAUUCUGGGGGAAUAGGAGACAGUGUUUUUAUCACUGUUUCCAAACCAGAUAAACCACCCUCUCUACCAGCCAUAACAGAUCCUUCUUCUGUUCUAGCUCUUUCUGAAGUUAUUUUUUCUCUAGAGAGGGAAAAUUGUAGCCCCAAACUUCGUACAGAGGGAUCCAGGGUAUUCAAGACUUCAGAGGUCACUCAGACACCAACUAAGACAGAUCAUCACUCUAGCAUAUGAGGAUUGUGUUCAAAAUCAAAUCUAGGUAGUACAAAUACUCAGAAGGAUUUUCUUUCCAUUUUCUAUUUUGCCUCAUCGCUCAUAUAUUGUACUAUUGAGUUAUCUAAAGAAAUAAAGCAUGUUUAUGUUAUCGCGGUACAUUCAGCAAACUGUAUUCUUCUCCCGAGAGCUCAUCCAUCAGUUACAACCUUCAUCUAAACUGGGGAUGUGUGGAUCUGUAAGUAUGUCCGUGCAUCUUUCUACAUCCUGUUCCUAGCAACAUCCGAUGGCGUUACUUCAAAGAAAGGCCAAAACUGAACCCAGACAAAACUUAUAACCCUGCCAGAAACCAGCAGUGGUAGGGGGACAAAUCCUUCUUGCUCUCCAGAAACAACAUGAUGCAUAAGAUAAGAACAACACAAACAAACAGUGAUCCAGUCUCCUUUUCAACCCCUUGGGGACAUAAUGACACACCAGAUUCUUGUCUCCUUGGCAAUAUAGUCCCUUUCAGAGGCUUCCAGUUGAAUUUUUUCAAAGGCUUCCAGUUGAAUUUUUUUUCUCUGACUGCUUAAUUUUAGAAAACUAUCAUAGGCUUUCGAUGCUCAAUUAAUCAAUGCUCUUCAUUAAUUUUCAUGGCCAAUCUAUAAGCAACUGAACUAGUUCCAACAGAGUCCUUUAACAUAUAUAAUCUUUCUCCACUGGCCUCACCCUCCUGAAUUCUGAAUGCAUUUAGGAAGAGUAAUCAGAACCGCUUUUAAUCUUUAUCUGGUUAAAUAAGACAAAUUCCCUUACUCUCUUCAUAAGUGAACCACUGCAUUCCUGUGAAGUAUUGGUACCUUUCCCCGUAUUUGUUAGAGUAAUUUUGAUCUUAAAUAAAGAUAGCAGAACUAAAGGAAAUAUUUCCACAGAUAUUUACUGGUGCUUUCAACACUCAUAUCAUUAUUUUUGGUUUUAGAAUAAACUUCUAAUGCAUUCUAGCCUUUCUUGGUUGAAUAAUAAAUCACAUGCUUUCUUUCCUCUAUGGCACUUAAUGUAUUAUGUUGUUUAAGACUGUAACUUUCCUUUUUCCAGGGCUUAGUGGAUCUUGGGAAGAGUACAGAAGUGGCAGUUUCAGCUCCACGAAGGACCCUACACUGUUGAUGAAAUAUCAUUACUCCUUCUCUCUGCAUCUUUCCAGUCAUUUUCACCACAACUUGUACUGUCUUCAUGCCUGGAUGGGGUUGCUUCAGAUUUGAGCAGCUGGAAGGGGCCGUCAAAAAGUCACUGCUGUCAACUACCCAUGGAAAAAUGCCCGCUCCCAUCAGAGCAUCCCCACCGCAGCUGGCCAGAGCCAGCUGACACUGAGGACGUCGUCUCCAAGAAGGGUAAAAAUAAUGCACGGGGCUCUGGGGAAUCUCGUCACUCUCCAGACGUGCUCUUUCUCAGUCCCACGUGAA